AUGAAAUCCACGCUACCGUCCAAGGCGUUUCGCCAUCGGUCUUGGGCGUCUGUCAUCUCUGCUACCGGUGGCUCGGCCACCCAGCCUGAUGUGCAGUCUGCUCUGGCUGAUCAAAUCGCGCAGCUGCAGGGUUGGAUGACGCGGGUUGAGAGCUUUCUGGAGAGGGCAGAGGCUGUACUGGACAAGCUCUCCUUAGGGCCAACUAUGUUGUCAACCAGUCUGUUGUCAUGCCCUCCUGGUGUGGCCGGUGUUGCCACCACGGAGGAAGGAAGCCAAGAGCUAUAUGGAUGUUUCUCUCCUCGUGCUGGGGACAACACACCGUCACUAUCAACCUUCUCUCUUGUGCUGCCUACCAUUGAGGGCGAGCCCAGCGCCGUGCUCAAGUCUUCGGUUCUACAGAUCAUGCCCGACCUACAGGAGCUAUGUCUUAGCCCUGUUUUGCCUUUGUCUGUGGAGCGCUUGGAGGUGGACUCAUUAGUGACCUGGUGUGAGGGGCAUGUUUCGCCUCUGUCACAUGAGCAAGUGGAGGUGCCUGAGGCGAUUGUGUCAGUGGUUCCUAUGGGCGAUGUUGUCGUCUCAGUGGUUUCUAUGGCUGAUGAUGUUGAGACGGACGAUAUGUUAGCGCCUGACCCUUUGGAGCCCAGCCAGUCGCUCGCCUUUGUGGACGGCGGAGGUUCCGACGUUCCGGUCACCAACUCACACGUGACCGUUGGGCACGUGAUGUCUGUGCGUGACAAGGUCGAUGAGAUUCUCUUCGAGUUAGAGAUUCACAGCUUGCUCAAACGUUUAGAGGCGGCUAGCCCUGGGUCUGGCAAGGCGAUUGUGGAGGAGGCUCUCAGAAACCAAAGAAAGAAGAGUGGCGCCACAGGAAAGGCGUCCGCAGCUGCUUGA
rnacentral:rRNA from 1 species